UGGGGAAUAUUGCACAAUGGGCGCAAGCCUGAUGCAGCCAUGCCGCGUGUAUGAAGGAGGCCUUCGGGUUGUAAAGUACUUUCAGCGGGGAGGAAGGGAGUAAAGUUAAUACCUUUGCUCAUUGACGUUACCCGCAGAAGAAGCACCGGCUAACUCCGUGCCAGCAGCCGCGGUAAUACGGAGGGUGCAAGCGUUAAUCGGAAUUACUGGGCGUAAAGCGCACGCAGGCGGUUUGUUAAGUCAGAUGUGAAAUCCCCGGGCUCAACCUGGGAACUGCAUCUGAUACUGGCAAGCUUGAGUCUCGUAGAGGGGGGUAGAAUUCCAGGUGUAGCGGUGAAAUGCGUAGAGAUCUGGAGGAAUACCGGUGGCGAAGGCGGCCCCCUGGACGAAGACUGACGCUCAGGUGCGAAAGCGUGGGGAGCAAACAGG
rnacentral:rRNA from 1 species